AUUGGGCGUAAGCGCGCGCAGGCGGUUUCUUAAGUCUGAUGUGAAAGCCCACGGCUCUACCGUGGAGGGUCAUUGGAAACUGGGGAACUUGAGUGCCUAAGAGAAAAGCGGAAUUCCACGUGUAGCGGUGAAAUGCGUAGAGAUGUGGAGGAACACCAGUGGCGAAGGCGGCCUUUUGGUCUGUAACUGACGCUGAGGCGCGAAAGCGUGGGGAGCAAACAGGAUUAUAUACCCUGGUAGUCCACGCCGUAAACGAUGAGUGCUAAGUGUUAGAGGGUUUC
rnacentral:rRNA from 1 species